ACUCAAAUGAAUUGACGGGGGUCCGCACAAGCGGUGGAACAUGUGGUUUAAUUCGACACUACGCGAGGAACCUUACCUAGGUUUGACAUGUAUAUGCUAGCCCCAGAAACGGGGUCUUCUUAGGGAAACCUAAGACGUAUACACAGGUGCUGCAUGGCUGUCGUCAGCUCGUGUCGUGAGAUGUUGGGUUAAGUCCUAUAACGAGCGCAACCCCUGCUGUCAGUUGCUAUCUCGUAAGAGAGCACUCUGAUGGGACUGCCUGGGAAACCAGGAGGAAGGUGGGGAUGAUGUCAAGUCCGCAUGGUCCUUAUGCCUAGGGCGACACACGUGUUACAAUGGCCAAUACAAAGGGCUGCGAAGUCGCAAGAUGGAGCCAAUCCCAGAAAGUUGGUCUAAGUUCAGAUUGAGGUCUGCAACCCGACCUCAUGAAGUUGAAAUCGCUAGUAAUCGCGCAUCAGAACGGCGCGGUGAAUACGUUCUCGGACCUUGUACACACCGCCCGU
rnacentral:rRNA from 1 species